GACGGAUAGCUUGGUUUUGGUUGUGAUGAAGGACGUGGUAAGCUGCGAUAAGCUUUGGAGAGCUGCAUGCAAGCUUUGAUCCAAAGAUUUCCGAAUGCACAGAGAUGUGGAACUACGCCGGGAAUUGAAACAUCUUAGUACCGGCAGGAAAAGAAAAUAAAUUAAUGAUAUCCUUAUUAGCAGAGAGCGAAAAGGAUAUAGGGCAAACCGAAUCUGUCUUUGAAAAGAGAUAAGAGAUGUGGUGAGAUCAAAUGCCUAAGUCAACGAGUCAAAGUCCACUGGAAUGUGGCAUCAUAGAGGGUGACAAUCCCGUAGACAAAGUUGAUAUGGUGUUCUCAAUAGAGUAAGGCUUCCUGGAUUGGAGGUCUGAAUACGGCAGGAUUAACUGCUAACCCUAAAUAAAACCAAAGUCCGAUAGCGAACAAGUACCGCGAGGGAAAGCUGAAAAGUACCCGUAACAGGGGGUUAAAAGACUUGAAAUCUAACAGUUACAGUUUGUUACUGGCCUUAACCACUUUUGUGGAAAGGUUUGUAACGUACGUUUAGAAAAACGAGCCAAGGAGUUUUUUCAUGUGGCGAGGCUAACUGUCUAUGACAGGUAACCAGAGCGAAAGCAAGUGUGAAAGCGCAUCAGUCACGUGGAUUAGACCUGAAGCCAGAUGAUCUAUUCAUGAGUAAGGUGAAGUCUCUCGAAAGGGGGAUGGAGGCCUGAACUAGUGUUAUGUACAUGUACUUGGAUGACUUGUGAUUAGGGGUGAAAAGCCUAUCUAAUCUGGCGAUGGCUGGUUCCUGCUGAAAUAUGCCUACGUAUAAUCUUGUCUAGUUUGUUAAUGGCGUAAAGUACGGAUAAAUCUCGCAGGAGCUAAUGCUUACGGAGAUUUUUCCAACUCAGAAUCUAUUAACUGCAUAAGACAGGAAACAGGGGCAGUAUGUAAGAUACUGUUCCGAAACCCGAACAAGGGAGCCCGAAGUUAAGGUCCCAAAAUUUAUGCUAAGUGUAUCAAAAGGUGUCCCGAACCUGAGACACUAGGGAUGUAAGCUCAGAAGCAGCUAUCAUUUAAAGAAAGCGUAACAGCUCACCUAUUGAGGUUCGAGGCCCUGAAACUGGACGGGGCUAAGCAUAAUACCGAUACUUCGGAGACACUCGGUUGAGUGUUCUGAUAAGCAGGCGUGGUUAUUGCACAGAAGGUUUUUCGAGAGAAAGGCUGGAGCAAUAACCAAUGAGAAUCUUGGUGGCAGUAGGAUGUGAUUCUCCUGAGAACGGAGAAGGUCGAAAGGGUAAGGUUUCCUCGGCAAUAUCGUUUAGCCGAGGGUUAGUCAGCACCUAAGCUGUAUCUUAACUGAGUACGGCGAUGGACAACAGGUUAAUAUUCCUGUACUGAUUGAGUCUUACAUAUUGCAAUUUGCUUCGGGAUAAGCGAGCAUCCGGAAGGAUGUUUCGGCAAAGAAUUCUGUCGAGCGUAAUGCUUAGACGCAGAAAAAUUUGUCUGACAAAAUUUCUGAUUCCUAGAGCCAGUGAAAAGAUUGCAAUCUUGAUUUAAUCAGCUGUACCCACAACCGACACUGGUGCCCUAGCUGAAAAGGCUAAGACCUGAAAGGUAAAACCAAUCAAGGGAAUUCGGCAUAUUGGCCCUGUAGCUUCGGCUGAAGGGGUGUCUAUCUUUGUAUUUUUAGAAAUAUUAAUGCAUUGGUAGAUCACAGUAACAAGGAUGGCCCGACUGUUUACCAAAAACGUAGCUGGUUGCUAAUCUGAAAAGACUUGUAUAACCAGUGAGACCUGCCCAGUGGUGGUUUCUAAAACCCUCUUUCAAGGGGGCUAAGGUCCAUCAAACGGCGGGGGUAACUAUGACCCUCUUAAGGUAAAAUAUUACGAUUGCCUUAGUAAAACUUGACUAAAUGCUGGAAAACCCGAGAAUAUUUGAAUACUCGUUGUAAAUACAGUAAAAAUUUCAAAUUGCGGAUAAUCAGCAGGAAAGACUAGAGUUAGAUAAAUAUUUAAAAAUCCAAAUUGCCUUUUAAGAGAAUGAAUAUCGAACAGAUAAUUUUAAUUGGCUUUAUUGGAGCUAUAGAGAGUGUAACUUAUUAUCAGAAAUUUGAUUCUUAUAAUUGUGUGUGGAAACCAAUGAUUAUGAAAGAUGUCAAUAAAGGAUCAGUUUCGUUAGCAGUUGCACAAGAAAGGUUAAGUAAUGUUCGGAAGAGAAUGUAUUUCCCUUUCCCAAUAGAUAUUAUCUCUAUGAUAAAAUAUCUAAAAAGUUGAAUAUUAAUUAAUUCUAGAAUCCUCAGAGACUAUAUGUCAAGAGCUUAAUGCUAAGAUAUAGUCCGAACUGAAUGGCGACAUUCAGAGUUAAUGAGAAAUCAUUAACCGUCGAUAAACAACCUUGAGUCUAACUCAAAGGAAGUUGAACGUUAAGAAACCGUUAGGUGUCUUACGAUUGACAGUAACAUAAUUGAACGUAAUACCUUGUCGUCUGAAUGGCGACUUGCAUGAAUGGUUCAACGUGGUUGUCACUGUCCCUGGUUGGAGCCUUCUGAACAUAUUGUCCGGCGAAAAGACCGGAGACACCUAGUGGGAAGUGAAGACCUUGUGGAACUUUACUGCAGCUUGUUGUUGUGAUUUUAUCCGAAAUGCAGAGUAUAGGUAGGAGCGUCGAGACGCGUUUUCUGGAACGCGUGGAGCAACAUUGUAAUACUACCCAUUUUUGCUAAAGUUGCUUACUCUUUAUGGGGACAGCAGCUGGCGGGCAGUUUGACUGGGGCGGUGCCCUGUCGAAAAGAUAUCGAUAGGACCCAAAGAUGAGCUCAUCCAGCUUGGAAAUCUGGAGUUGAGUGCGAGGGCAAAAGCUCAUCUGACUGUAUUUUGAAAAGCAAGAAAUGCAGAGAGGAAACUCGGGCCUAGUGAACCCACGUGCUUUUUUAAUAGAAGCCGUGUCUGAUAGAAAAGUUACCCCAAGGAUAACAGGCUUGUCGCCCCCGAUAGUCCAUAUAGACGGGGCGGUUUGGUACAUCGCUGUCGGCUCUUCCUAUCCUAGCCGUGCAGAAGCGGCUAAGGGUGCCGGAGUUCACGUAUUAAAAGGGAUCGUUAGCUGGGUUAAGAACGUCGCGAGACAGUUUGUAUAAUAUCUACUAGGUGUGUUGUUGUCUGAGUGGAACGACUUUCUAGUACGAGAGGAACGGAAGUCGGAUGCCUCUGGUGAGCAGUUGUCAUUUGGCAGGCUGCAUAGCUACGCAUUGUAUGGAUAAGAGCUGAAUGCAUCUAAGCUCGAAACCAUCCGCAAAACGAGACAACUAAGGCCGUCAUAGAAGAUGACGUUGAUAGAGCUCUUGUGUAAG
rnacentral:rRNA from 2 species